rnacentral:rRNA from 1 species
GAUGAACGCUGGCGGCGUGCCUAAUACAUGCAAGUCGAGCGAACAGACGAGGAGCUUGCUCCUCUGACGUUAGCGGCGGACGGGUGAGUAACACGUGGAUAACCUACCUAUAAGACUGGGAUAACUUCGGGAAACCGGAGCUAAUACCGGAUAAUAUAUUGAACCGCAUGGUUCAAUAGUGAAAGACGGUGUUGCUGUCACUUAUAGAUGGAUCCGCGCUGCAUUAGCUAGUUGGUAAGGUAACGGCUUACCAAGGCGACGAUGCGUAGCCGACCUGAGAGGGUGAUCGGCCACACUGGAACUGAGACACGGUCCAGACUCCUACGGGAGGCAGCAGUAGGGAAUCUUGCGCAAUGGGCGAAAGCCUGACGGAGCAACGCCGCGUGAGUGAGGAAGGUCUUCGGAUCGUAAAACUCUGUUAUUAGGGAAGAACAAAUGUGUAAGUGACUAUGCACGUCUUGACGGUACCUAAGCAGAAAGCCACGGCUAACUACGUG